UGCAUCGAACUGCUUCCCUCACUUUCGAUCAGUUGUUGCUCCACGAGAUAAACGUUGGACGCAAGACAUGGGUUCCUGUGUUGCAUACCUAUUGCGACGGAAAUGUGUGCCUUCGAUCGUCCCUUCCAUCACGGCGUCCUCACGGAUGCUCGGUUGGACCGGAUAGUGGGGCUCGUGUUCCACGAACGUMGUCUCAUUCGACCGUUCGGAUGGACCACGGGUGCCCACUCGUUCUCUCGGAUGYGGAAAUCUSUUGAUGGGCGUGGGGUCAUUGGCCCUUGGUCCCUAAUCGUUAAGCGUUUAUCGCUUCACCGGAAUGACGAUCUCGCCUUGUCCUUGACCACGCGAAGCCCUCGGGCAUCGCGACGGAUCAUGCUCGGCGGACGUCGUGAAGGAAUGC
rnacentral:misc_RNA from 1 species